AACGAACGCUGGCGGCAUGCCUAACACAUGCAAGUCGAACGAGACCUUCGGGUCUAGUGGCGCACGGGUGCGUAACGCGUGGGAACCUGCCCUUAGGUUCGGAAUAACUCCCCGAAAGGGGUUCUAAUACCGGAUAAUGUCUUCGGACCAAAGAUUUAUCGCCGUUGGAUGGGCCCGCGUUGGAUUAGCUAGUUGGUAGGGUAAAAGCCUACCAAGGCGACGAUCCAUAGCUGGUCUGAGAGGAUGAUCAGCCACACUGGGACUGAGACACGGCCCAGAAUCCUACGGGAGGCAGCAGUGGGGAAUAUUGGACAAUGGGCGAAAGCCUGAUCCAGCAAUGCCGCGUGAGUGAUGAAGGCCUUAGGGUUGUAAAGCUCUUUUACCCGGGAUGAUAAUGACAGUACCGGGAGAAUAAGCUCCGGCUAACUCCGUG
rnacentral:rRNA from 1 species